UUAUAAUUUCCUCUUUUUUAUUUAAUAGUGGUUAAAAAAAUAUAAUAUAAGUUACACAUAUAAAAGGUGUUUUAAAUUAAAUAUAAAAUUUAUUUAUUUUAUUUAAUUAGUGUAAAAAAUUUUUUAUAAACAUAAUAGUUUUUAAAAGCUUGUAUUUAAUAUUGGAAAAUUCUCAGUGCCAGCAUCCGCGGUUAAUCUGUUAGAUUUAUAUUUUUAAACUUUUAAUUUAAAUUAAUAAAUAUUAGUAUAUUAGUUAAAUAAGCUUAAUUACUAAUUUUUAAUAUUUUAAUUAUUAAUAAAUAUGCUAGAUAAUUAAAGAAAAGGAUUAGAUACCCUAUUAUUUAUAGCGUAAUUUUAAUUAGUUAAACUAAAACUAUUUGGCAGCUAGUAUUCUUCUAUUUGGGGAUUGUGUUAUUUAAAGGAUAUCCCACCUAUUAAGCUACUUAUUUUUAUGUUGGUGUACAUCUGAUUUAAUAUAGAUGUUAUAUAAGCAUUUAUGAAAUUUUGUAUUUUAAGUUAAGUCUAUGUGCUGCUAUAAAUAAGAUAUAAUGCAAUACAUUAAAAAUAGGGGUGUUGUAAUACACCUAAUUAAGGACUAAAAAGUAAAACUAAAUAAGUUAGUUAGUUUGAAGAAGUAAGAACUGGGGUACAUACCGCCCGUCAAUUUCGAUAAUUUAUUGAAAUAAGUCGUAACAUGGUAGCCUAUGAGGAAUCAAAGGCUAGUAAAUG
rnacentral:ncRNA from 1 species